rnacentral:rRNA from 1 species
AUGGCUGAAGCAUGCCCUGAUAGUCGGCGAUGCCUACCUGCUUGGAUGAUGAAACCCUGCUCGAGUAAUGAGGUGUCAAAGACUGAGCAUCGGAAUAAGCAGUCGGCGGAAUCUGAUAAGGGAUCAGGGGCUCUAGAUCAGGCUAAGCCCAUCAGAAGGCAGAAAAAAAUUGUGGAUCCAGAGGAUGCUGGUGGACUGAAGGCGUUGCAGCGAUGCCAGGGUAAAGAAAAGGCCAGGAGAAAGAGCAAGGAUGCUGAUCGUGCUGUCACGGAUGAAUUUGGCGAAAUCGAGAAAAUAACUUGUAAGAAUGAGAGGAAAGUUAGUGGAAGAGCUGCUCCGAAGAAUAGCAGGAAGCGGAUGCUGGAGGAUGUGGGAUCAGAUGCAUCGUCAUCAGGAAUAACUGAUGAUGAGAUGGAGCUCAGUGCUGGCAAUUCCAGAGCUUUGCAACGAUGUCAGGGUAGAGAAAAGACCAGAAGAAAGCGCGACAGUGCUGAUUAUUCUGCCAAAGAUGAACUUGAAGAAAUUGAGAAAACAACUCGUAAGAAUGUGACAAAAGUGACUUGCAGAGCUGCUCCAAAGAAUAGCAAGAAACAAAAGCCGGAUAAUGUUGGAUCAGAAACAUUGUCAUCAGGUACAACUGAUGAUGAGAUAGAGCUUACUGUGGAAGAUCUUGUGAGCAUAGCUGAAGAGAUUGUAAAUGCUGAUAAAGAGAAGCUACAAGAUAUACGGGCCACAAAGACAGCCCGCUAUGAAGAGCGUCCUCCACGGCCUCCAAUCUCUACUCCUGCUGAUACAGGAGGAUCAACAUCAAGCACUUGGUCAACAAAGGGGUUGAUGCAGUGCACGGCAGCUACUACCACAGAUGAAACUCCAAGCGAGUGCAGAGUAGACAAGAACAAGAGACAUGAAGAACCAGAGCGUCCACCAAGUAUCAAAAUGACCGGUGAUGUUGCUGAGGAUAUGAUGAACAUAUUGCUCGGACCCCUGUGGAAUAGUGAACCUGCAGCCUAUGAAUAUAAACCCGAGGCUGUGGUACCGAGGACCGUGAACGUGAAUCUUGCGCCGCAGCGGAAAAACGAUUGGCAGAAGACUGUAGCACAAGCGCAGGGGGCACCUGUGGCGAAAAAGAAAAGCAGCCUGAAAGAUAUGGUGGCCUUUUUUCUUGAGUAG